rnacentral:rRNA from 1 species
GACGAACGCUGGCGGCGUGCUUAACACAUGCAAGUCGAACGAUGAAGCCUAGCUUGCUAGGUGGAUUAGUGGCGAACGGGUGAGUAAUACGUGAGUAACCUACCUUUAACUCUGGGAUAAGCCUGGGAAACUGGGUCUAAUACCGGAUACGACCAAUCUCCGCAUGGGGUGUUGGUGGAAAGCGUUAUGUAGUGGUUAUAGAUGGGCUCACGGCCUAUCAGCUUGUUGGUGAGGUAACGGCUCACCAAGGCGGCGACGGGUAGCCGGCCUGAGAGGGUGACCGGCCACACUGGGACUGAGACACGGCCCAGACUCCUACGGGAGGCAGCAGUGGGGAAUAUUGCACAAUGGGCGCAAGCCUGAUGCAGCGACGCCGCGUGAGGGAUGACGGCCUUCGGGUUGUAAACCUCUGUUAGCAGGGAAGAAGAGAGAUUGACGGUACCUGCAGAGAAAGCGCCGGCUAACUACGUGCCAGCAGCCGCGGUAAUACGUAGGGCGCGAGCGUUGUCCGGAAUUAUUGGGCGUAAAGAGCUUGUAGGCGGUUUGUCGCGUCUGCUGUGAAGGCCGGAGCUUAACUCCGUGUAUUGCAGUGGGUACGGGCAGACUAGAGUGCAGUAGGGGAGACUGGAAUUCCUGGUGUAGCGGUGGAAUGCGCAGAUAUCAGGAGGAACACCGAUGGCGAAGGCAGGUCUCUGGGCUGUAACUGACGCUGAGAAGCGAAAGCAUGGGGAGCGAACAGGAUUAGAUACCCUGGUAGUCCAUGCCGUAAACGUUGGGCACUAGGUGUGGGGAACAUUCCACGUUUUCCGCGCCGUAGCUAACGCAUUAAGUGCCCCGCCUGGGGAGUACGGCCGCAAGGCUAAAACUCAAAGAAAUUGACGGGGGCCCGCACAAGCGGCGGAGCAUGCGGAUUAAUUCGAUGCAACGCGAAGAACCUUACCAAGGCUUGACAUAUACUGGAUCGCAUCAGAGAUGGUGUUUCCCUUCGGGGCUGGUAUACAGGUGGUGCAUGGUUGUCGUCAGCUCGUGUCGUGAGAUGUUGGGUUAAGUCCCGCAACGAGCGCAACCCUCGUUCUAUGUUGCCAGCACGUUAUGGUGGGGACUCAUAGGAGACUGCCGGGGUCAACUCGGAGGAAGGUGGGGAUGACGUCAAAUCAUCAUGCCCCUUAUGUCUUGGGCUUCACGCAUGCUACAAUGGCCGGUACAGAGGGUUGCGAUACUGUGAGGUGGAGCUAAUCCCUAAAAGCCGGUCUCAGUUCGGAUUGGGGUCUGCAACUCGACCCCAUGAAGUCGGAGUCGCUAGUAAUCGCAGAUCAGCAACGCUGGCGUGAAUACGUUCCCGG